GGGAAUCAUKGCAAUGGGUGAAAGCUGACGGUGCAACGCCGCGUGAACGAUGAAGGUCUUCGGAUUGUAAAGUUCUGUUGUUAGGGAAGAACAAGUGCCAUUCGAACAGGUUGGCACCUUGACGGUACCUAACCAGAAAGCCCCGGCUAACUACGUGCCAGCAGCCGCGGUAA
rnacentral:rRNA from 1 species